UACUGAGGUGGUCAUAAACUUUAUCCUAAUUUUUUAAAGUUUACUGUAUAUACACGCCACUGCAGGAAAAAUGCUGUUCAAAUAUUUUUGACAGAUCUACAUUUACAGUGAUUCUAUCAGCAGUGCUGACUACAAUUCCAACUCUUAUACUUCCACAACAACCUGCACCACAUCCACAACCUCGUUAACUGUGUCCUGUCUCCUGUCCCGGACGUCUUCGUCGUCGUGCGAUCUCGAAAAGUCCAGGUUCUUACACAACGAGAACGAAGAAAACCGAUAAACGGCAGAAUUUCCCUGUCGCCUUCACCAGUCCAACACUCUUUUCAAGAAAUGAGAAACAAUCCGGUCGACCUGAUCUAAAAGGCACAGAAGCUGAAAUCCCCGCAUUAGUAAUCGAAUCAAGUUUUGUUGAAACAAAAACAAUCCUUCCGCCCCAAACGUCCACCUUGACCUUCGUAACGGCCGUAACGGCACUUCGACGGUAACACAGUGCUUACACCAACAUUCGGCUCAAGUAGAUGUCCAGAUGCACACUAGAUGGUAGUUCAGUGCACAUGCAUCAGCCAGCGCAGGUGUGUUGUCCCGUUUGAGACGACAUUUGGCAUGCUGCUAAGUUGAAUUUUUUUGAAAAUCUUUUCUUCAAACUUGGAAAAAGUAUAAUGUAUGGACUACUGAUGUAUGAAAUGCAGCCUUUUGCCAACGAAUCACGUGAAACAAACGAUGCAUUUAAAUUUUUUUGUUAGGUAAUGCAAAUUAAAUGCACCUCAAGAUCUCUGGGACUCCGGGCGGAAAUGGAUGAGCAGCUCCGCUUUAGCGUCUAGCGCGGACCGGGGCGGCCUUGGCCUUGGCGACUUCGGGUGUGUCCUGGAUCUGGGCGGGCGCUACCAAAUCGGCGAUGGGAGCGACGGGCAAGUCGUUGGAUCGAACGCGGCAUUGUAUCCGUAAAACUGCAUGAGCUUGGGCGGCAACAGCCAACACUAACUAUACGACCUCCUUCAGACUUGUUUCGGAUACUGUAAACAGUCUCCGUUUUACUAAUUUACAUUAAUAAGACGCAGUUGAAUGUUACUGGUGGAAUGAAAACAUAAACGCAAUAUAGAAAUUCAUUUUUUUUAAGUAAUUAAUUCCCAAUAUUUUGUGCCCUUCUUUCAGUACUUGUUAUAAAGUACAUUUGUUUCUAAACAUCAUUGAAAAAUACCAGAGAAAAAAGUUUGACUUCCCGUCAUAGCAGAAUCUAUUGAUUUUUUUAGUUAUAAAAAUUGAAAAUAAAUUUGCGAAUUUCUUGUGUGCAUUUAGGCGAAAUAUCUUGGUUUGUAAAGAAGAGUAAACAUGCCGAGCAAUAGAAGUAGAAGCAAAACUGCAGAAGUCCCCUCCUUUGACGAA